rnacentral:rRNA from 1 species
AUACGUAGGUGGCGAGCGUUGUCCGGAAUUACUGGGUGUAAAGGGCGUGUAGGCGGGGAUGCAAGUCAGAUGUGAAAUCCCGAGGCUCAACCUCGGAGCUGCAUCUGAAACUGUGUCUCUUGAGUGUCGGAGAGGAAAGCGGAAUUCCCAGUGUAGCGGUGAAAUGCGUAGAUAUUGGGAGGAACACCGGUGGCGAAGGCGGUUUUCUGGACGACAACUGACGCUGAGGCGCGAAAGCGUGGGGAGCAAACAGGAUUAGAUACCCUGGUAGUCCACGCCGUAAACGAUGGAUACUAGGUGUAGGAGGUAUCGACCCCUUCUGUGCCGGAGUUAACACAAUAAGUAUCCCACCUGGGGAGUACGGCCGCAAGGUUGAA